AUUGAACGCUGGCGGCAUGCCUUACACAUGCAAGUCGAACGGCAGCACGGACUUCGGUCUGGUGGCGAGUGGCGAACGGGUGAGUAAUGUAUCGGAACGUACCUUUCAGUGGGGGAUAACGUAGCGAAAGUUACGCUAAUACCGCAUAUUCUGUGAGCAGGAAAGCAGGGGAUCGCAAGACCUUGCGCUGAUUGAGCGGCCGAUAUCAGAUUAGCUAGCUGGUGGGGUAAAGGCCUACCAAGGCUACGAUCUGUAGCGGGUCUGAGAGGAUGAUCCGCCACACUGGAACUGAGACACGGUCCAGACUCCUACGGGAGGCAGCAGUGGGGAAUUUUGGACAAUGGGGGCAACCCUGAUCCAGCCAUGCCGCGUGAGUGAAGAAGGCCUUCGGGUUGUAAAGCUCUUUCGGCCGGGAAGAAAUCGCAUCAGCUAAUACCUGGUGUGGAUGACGGUACCGGAAUAAGAAGCACCGGCUAACUACGUGCCAGCAGCCGCGGGAAUACGUAGGGUGCGAGCGUUAAUCGGAAUUACUGGGCGUAAAGCGUGCGCAGGCGGUUGUGUAAGACAGGCGUGAAAUCCCCGGGGCUCACCUGGGAACUGCGCUUGUGACUGCACAGCUAGAGUACGGCAGAGGGGGGUGGAAUUCCACGUGUAGCAGUGAAAUGCGUAGAGAUGUGGAGGAACACCGAUGGCGAAGGCAGCCCCCUGGGCCGAUACUGACGCUCAUGCACGAAAGCGUGGGUAGCAAACAGGAUUAGAUACCCUGGUAGUCCACGCCCUAAACGAUGUCAACUAGGUGUUGGGUGGGUAAAACCAUUUAGUACCGUAGCUAACGCGUGAAGUUGACCGCCUGGGGAGUACGGCCGCAAGGUUAAAACUCAAAGGAAUUGACGGGGACCCGCACAAGCGGUGGAUGAUGUGGAUUAAUUCGAUGCAACGCGAAAAACCUUACCUACCCUUGACAUGUCCAGAAGCCCGGAGAGAUUUGGGUGUGCCCGAAAGGGAACUGGAACACAGGUGCUGCAUGGCUGUCGUCAGCUCGUGUCGUGAGAUGUUGGGUUAAGUCCCGCAACGAGCGCAACCCUUGUCGUUAAUUGCCAUCAUUUAGUUGGGCACUUUAACGAGACUGCCGGUGACAAACCGGAGGAAGGUGGGGAUGACGUCAAGUCCUCAUGGCCCUUAUGGGUAGGGCUUCACACGUCAUACAAUGGUCGGUACAGAGGGUUGCCAAGCCGCGAGGUGGAGCCAAUCCCAGAAAGCCGAUCGUAGUCCGGAUUGCAGGCUGCAACUCGCCUGCAUGAAGUCGGAAUCGCUAGUAAUCGCGGAUCAGCAUGUCGCGGUGAAUACGUUCCCGGGUCU
rnacentral:rRNA from 1 species